AGAAUCAACGCUGGCGGCGCGCUUAACACAUGCAAGUCGAACGAGAAAGGGGAGCAAUCCCUGAGUAAAGUGGCGUACUGGUGAGUAACACGUGGAUAUCUACCUCUUGGUGGGAAUAACCUGGGGAAACCUGGGCUAAUACCGCAUAAGUUCGUGAGAAGAAAGGCGCAAGCCGCCGAGAGAGGAUCCGCGGUCGAUUAGGUAGUUGGCGGGGUAAGAGCCCACCAAGCCAAAGAUCGAUA
rnacentral:rRNA from 1 species